rnacentral:rRNA from 1 species
UACAGAGGUCUCAAGCGUUGUUCGGAUUCAUUGGGCGUAAAGGGUGCGUAGGCGGCGCGGUGAGUCGGGUGUGAAAUCUUGGAGCUUAACUCCGAAACUGCAUUCGAUACUGCCGUGCUUGAGGACUGGAGAGGAGACUGGAAUUUACGGUGUAGCGGUGAAAUGCGUAGAUAUCUGGAGGAAUACCGGUGGCGAAGGCGGCAUCCUGGACCAUUACUGACGCUGAGGCGCGAAAGCUAGGGGAGCAAACGGG